rnacentral:misc_RNA from 1 species
UUGUUCCUCCACUUGAGCCAUAGUAGCUCUGCAUACAAAAAAACACCCAAAAACGAAAUUAAUUAUUAUAUGCAAGACAGUUGCCUAUCUAGGAUACAAUUAGAUCUUUUUUUUUUUUUUUCUUCUUGAGAAUUGGCCUGAACUAAUUAUAAUAAAACCAGCUGAUAGAGAGUAGGCGUCAGAACAAACCGUGGGACAUGUG